UCCACGCCCUAAACGAUGUUCACUAGUCGUCGGAAAGCUUGUCUUUUCGGUGAUGCACUUAACAGAUUAAGUGAACCGCCUGGGGAGUACGGUCGCAAGAUUAAAACUCAAAGGAAUAGACGGGGACCCGCACAAGUGGUGGAGCAUGUGGUUUAAUUCGAAGAUACGCGAAAAACCUUACCUAGCCUUGACAUUGAUAGAAUUCUGUAGAGAUACGGAAGUGCCCUUCGGGGAACUUGAAAACAGGUGCUGCACGGCUGUCGUCAGCUCGUGU
rnacentral:rRNA from 1 species